AGUGGGUCAGAGCACAAGGCGGUGUGGUCUGAUAUCCUUUUCCAACACGAAUCCUUUCAGGAAGGGUUCAGAAUAGUAGUACCACUAUUCCACAUUAAAUUAGUCAUAUCUUUCAUUGCAAAAGCUGCCUGGAUUUUAGCAACUCAUCUGAUUAGAGCCAGCAUGUUGGAAUUGCAUCACGUUUAGCUGUGGAUAUUCUACUUGCCAAGGGGAGGAAUUGAGAUCCAGCAGAAUCUGAGAAGGGAGAUGGACGUUUGUAAAGCAGAAAAAAACCCUGGAAUAGAUUGAAGACUGGUAAGUGGCAGCAGCCAGCGUAGAC